rnacentral:rRNA from 1 species
CCUACGGGUGGCAGCAGUGGGGAAUAUUGCACAAUGGGGGAAACCCUGAUGCAGCGACGCCGCGUGAGUGAAGAAGGAUUUCGGGAUGUAAAGCUCUAUCAGCAGGAACGAGACAAGACGGGACCUGACGAAGAAGCCCCGGCUAACUACGUGCCAGCAGCCGCGGUAAUACGGAGGGGGCAAGCGUUAUCCGGAAUCACUGGGUGUAACGGGAGCGUAGACGGCUGAGCAAGCCUGAAGGGAAAGGCGGGGGCCCAACCCCCGGACUGCUUUGGGAACUGUACGGCUGGAGUGCAGGAGAGGUAAGUGGAAUUCCUAGUGUAGCGGUGAAAUGCGUAGAUAUUAGGAGGAACACCAGUGGCGAAGGCGGCUUACUGGACUGUACCUGACGUUGAGGCUCGAAAGCGUGGGGAGCAAACAGGAUUAGAUACCCCAGUAGUC